AUCGCGUGGGUAAUCUAUCUUGAGUGGGGGAUAGCCUCGGGAAACCGAGGGUAAUACCGCAUGAGUCCUCAAUGACAUAAGUCGAUGAGGGGAAAGGCGGGGCUCCUUCGGGACCUGUCGCCUCUAGAUGAGCCCGCGUUCGAUUAGCUAGUUGGUGGGGUAAUGGCCUACCAAGGCAACGAUCGAUAGCCGGCCUGAGAGGGUGAACGGCCACAUUGGGACUGAGACACGGCCCAG
rnacentral:rRNA from 1 species